CCGGGCACGGCUUGGGCAGGGCCCCCCGAGCCCCUCCUCGGUCCCCCCCCGCAGCCCCCGGCUUUCCCUCGGGGUCUCUCCGGCGGUUUUCUCCUUUCGGGGAGCUCGGCGCCUUCUGCUCCUGCUGAACCUCGAGCCAUUUUGCUCCUCUGGACCAGCCCCAUGAUCCCCGAGAACCCCGCUGGGGAGGAGCUGGCGUGAUUUCCCCCCUGCCUCAGAUCCCCGACACCACCAGACCCCGACGCACGGCUGUCCGCACCGGUUCAUGUGUGGCAGGGAGUGCAGACGGGAACGAGAGCCUGUCCUCGGGGAUGGCAGCGUGCCCCAGGCAGGCCCUGGUGGAACACAGCGAUAAUAAUGAUCUCAGCAAAACCACUGAAACAGAGCCACCGCGCCGAGGCCACCCUGCACAUGCCUGUGGGGCAUCAGGGAGCCCUGGGAGCGAUCCCGUGCCAGCCCCUCGGGCAGCAAGUGGGGAUCGGCAGCACGAGCCCAUCCUGCCGGUGCUGUGGGGCUGGGGCUGGGCAGCUCCCGCUGCCCAUGUCCAUGCCCUCACAUGGGGACCUCUGUGCCCUGCUCCAUCUGGGUGAGGCAGGGAAGGAGACAUCCCCUGCUGGGGCUGGAAGGGGCUGGGGCUGCCCCCAUUCUCCCCACAGCCUGCCUUGGCCCUGCACAGAAGACCCCCUGCUCUGCUGAGGGUGCUGGCUAGGGCUGGAGGGUGGCACAAGAGCGGACUCCCAGCCCAUAUUAUAUUUUAAAAUGUAAUAACAGCACGGUGUCUAUUUUCGUAGAUGGAACAGAUCAUUUCUGGAAGAAGGCCAUAAAUCUCAAAGGGAGGGGAAAUAAUUUGGCCAAGGUCAUGUUAAGGCAGCAUCAGUGUUAAAGGGAAAAAUAUUAAAAUAACAACAAAAAAAAGCA